UUUAUUAUAAAAAAUGAAUGGUCUAUGUUUUAAAUACAUCUCUCUCUCUCCUUACGCUGAGAGCUCCUCAUCUCUCUCGAUAUGUUUCCGGCGAGGAAUCCGGCGCCGCAGCCGUCGACCAUCUCUUUCAUCUGAAUCGUGCCCUAGCUCUUCCUCAAAUCCUCUGGAAAAGGCGAAGAUGAAAAGCCCCAAUUUUUCUCCUUCAUCUGAAUCGUGCCCUAGCUCUUCCUCUGCCCAAAUCGUCGCCGCCCUGCUACAACUUCCGGCGGCAUCGCCGCCCUACGCGGCUCUGAAACUCCGGCAAAGUCGACGCCGUGCACCGGAGUGUCUUUCUCUCUCAAUUCCCGUUCACAACAGAGCUCGUCUGCUGGCGAAUGGAGCUCGCCCUUCUCUCUUUCCCCGUGGAUCUCCGCCGCGAAUAGCUCCGGUGAGGCCGGCUGUCGCCGCCUCUGAAAUUGGCGACGCCAGCGCCGUCCCCUGCUCCACAUCUCACAUCCUCACUCACGCGCACCCGACGGAGGCAAGGGUCGUGCCCAGUCCUCCCAUCACAAACCGCCGCCCUAGUUCGACGCCGCCUUUUCUCCUGCCGUUUCGGCAGCCAUUCGCUAUUGUUUUCGAUUGUCUCAUCGACAAAGGUGGUUAUGCCUCAGCUGCAGCCACUCACCGACCAGCAAACCGCCGAUGUUGAUAACUUGAAGCACUCGUGUAUGCAGGCCGAGGACGCCUGUCGCAAGGGAUGGAGAAGCUCCAGCAGACCCUCGCGCAGAGCGUCACCUUCCUGCAUCCGGGAGCAGGAAACUACUGCUCCCAGGCCGCCUUUGCCCUCGAGAACUUGGAGUCUCUCGAGAGCUUCAUAAACCAGGCGGAUCAUCUGCGACAGCAAACUCUACAGCACAUGUCGCGUAUAUUAACUACGCGACAAGCAGCCACCGGAUUGGUUGCGUUCGGGGAGUAUUUUCAGCGUCUGAGGACGCUGAGCUCGCUCUGGUCCGCCCGUUGCCCGGGCGAACCGGCAUGAUCGAAGCAGCAUUAGGUACAAGUUCAACCACGGAUAUAUAUAAAUAUAAAUAUAUAGUAGAUGUGCUGUAAAUGAGAUAAAUAUUGUAGUUUUUGCUUAGGUGAGUAUCAAUUUACAAUCCAACUCUUGCUUUAA